GGGUGACGAAGCGACGCCGCGUGGGUGAGGAAGGCCUUCGGGUUGUAAAACCCUGUCAGGAGUUAUGAAAUGUAAGUGUGCUAAUAUCGUGCUUAUUUGACAAAGGCUCCAAAGGAAGCCACGGCUAACUCUGUGCCAGCAGCCGCGGUAAUACAGAGGUGGCGAGCGUUGUUCGGAAUUAUUGGGCGUAAAGAGCACGUAGGUGGGUUUGCAAGUCAGAUGUGAAAGCCUUCUGUUCAACGGAAGAAUUGCAUCUGAAACUGCUAAUCUUGAGUAUAGGAGGGGAGAAUGGAACUUCUGGUGGAGCGGUGAAAUGCGUAGAUAUCAGAAGGAACGCCGGCGGCGAAAGCGAUUCUCUGGCCUAUUACUGACACUCAGUGUGCGAAAGCUAGGGGAGCAAACGGGACUAGAUACCCCGGUAGUCCUAGCCGUAAACGAUGGGCACUAAGUAGAGG
rnacentral:rRNA from 1 species